CAAGUGUUUGUAAAGUAUGCUCUGAUGUUGCGGUCCAUGGAAUUUCUUUUCCCUCCUUUGGUGAUGAAUCAUAACAACUUGGAAACUUCCAUUGUGAUGUUGAAUAUGUGGUUAUUAGGUAUGAUGUUGUGCAAAAUCAAAAUCUCUCAUAGUUUUGCUUCAAGGGUCAGGUUUUGGCGUAGAAACGACAUGGGAUUGUUUGUGAUGCCCAUCACAUUUAUUUGUUUCUUUUUUGAAAAUAUCCACUUGUAAUUUUGUCAACGUCCCAAAUUGUUAUGAAUAAUUGUUGAACAAAUAAAUCCAAAUCUUCUUCAAUAAGCUUGAAUGAGUUACCGAGGAAUGUAUUGAUGGUUACUUUGUUAUAUGGUACUCGUACUCAUGAAACUAUUGAAAAAUGUUACAAUGAUUCUUCAUAUGUUGGAAUAACAUUAACAUAUAAUUCUGUGAUGA
rnacentral:lncRNA from 1 species